AACGAACGCUGGCGGCAUGCCUAACACAUGCAAGUCGAACGAAGCCUUCGGGCUUAGUGGCGCACGGGUGCGUAACGCGUGGGAAUCUGCCCUUUGGUUCGGAAUAACAGUUGGAAACGACUGCUAAUACCGGAUGAUGACGAAAGUCCAAAGAUUUAUCGCCAGAGGAUGAGCCCGCGUAGGAUUAGCUAGUUGGUGUGGUAAAGGCGCACCAAGGCGACGAUCCUUAGCUGGUCUGGGAGGAUGAUCAGCCACACUGGGACUGAGACACGGCCCAGACUCCUACGGGAGGAAGCAGUGGGGAAUAUUGGACAAUGGGCGAAAGCCUGAUCCAGCAAUGCCGCGUGAGUGAUGAAGGCCCUAGGGUUGUAAAGCUCUUUUACCCGGGAUGAUAAUGACAGUACCGGGAGAAUAAGCCCCGGCUAACUCCGUGCCAGCCGCCGCGGUAA
rnacentral:rRNA from 1 species